rnacentral:ncRNA from 1 species
CCUCCGAAGUUUCCCUCAGGAUAGCUGGCACUCGUCUGUCUCCGCAGUUUUAUCUGGUAAAGCGAAUGAUUAGAGGUCUUGGGGCCGAAACGAUCUCAACCUAUUCUCAAACUUUAAAUGGGUUAGAAGCCCAGCUCGCUGGCGUGGAGCCGGGCGUGGAAUGCGAGUGCCUAGUGGGCCACUUUUGGUAAGUAGAACUGGCGCUGCGGGAUGAACCGAACGCCGGGUUAAGGCGCCCGAUGCUGACGCUCAUCAGACCCCAGAAAAGGUGUUGGUUGAUAUAGACAGCAGGACGGUGGCCAUGGAAGUUGGAAUCCGCUAAGGAGUGUGUAACAACUCUGAGACUCUGUGCAGGAAUACUGCUGGAACCAAAUGAUCCCAGCAAGAUGUCUGUCCAGUCUCCUCUUGAAGACUUCCUAGGUUGGGG